rnacentral:rRNA from 1 species
GUUUAUGUCCUAGCCUGAAAAGGCCGGGAAACCCGGUGAAUUCUUUUCGUGCUAGGGAUUGAGCCUUGCAAUUGUUUCUCAUCAACGAGGAAUUCCCAGUAAGUGUGAGUCAUAAGCUCGCACUGAUUACGUCCCUGCCCUUUGUACACACCGCCCGUCGCUACUACCGAUUGAAUGGGU